GUGUAUCAGUGCUCUAGAUGUGAAGUUAGCUAGGGUUUAGCAGGGUGUAUCAGUGUUCUAGAUGUGAGGUUAGCUAGGGUUUAGCAGGGUGUAUCAGUGUUGUAGAUGUGAGGUUAGCUAGGGUUUAGCAGGGUGUAUCAGUGUUCUAGAUGUGAGGUUAGCUAGGGUUUAGCAGGGUGUAUCAGUGUUCUAGUGAGGUUAGCUAGGGUUUAGCAGGGUGUAUCAGUGUUCUAGAUGUGAGGUUAUCUAGGGUUUAGCAGGGUGUAUCAGUGUUCUAGUGAGGUUAGCUAGGGUUUAGCAGGGUGUAUCAGUGUUCUAGUGAGGUUAGCUAGGGUUUAGCAGGGUGUAUCAGUGUUGUAGAUGUGAGGUUAGCUAGGUUUUAGCAGGGUGUAUCAGUGUUCUAGAUGUGAGAUUAGCUAGGGUUUAGCAGGGUGUAUCAGGGUGCUUUAGCCAGCCAUAGGGGCGUUGUCUGGGGGGUAGUGGUGCUUGGCGGGAGGCUGUGCCUGCUGUGACAGAAGAGGCCAGCUGUCAACCAACUGUCUCCUACCAACUGUCUGUGUGUGUGUGUGUGUGUGUGUGUGUGUGUGUGUGUGGUCAAAGGACCACCAGCCAUGCCCUCAAUGCUGAGACAGACAGACAGCUGGGGGCAGUUGGC
ensembl:lncRNA